AUGAACGCUGGCGGCGUGCCUAAUCCAUGCCAGUCGAGCGGACGGACGAGAAGCUUGCUUCUCUGAUGUUAGCGGCGGACGGGUGAGUAACACGUGGAUAACCUACCUAUAAGACUGGGAUAACUUCGGGAAACCGGAGCUAAUACCGGAUGAUAUUUUGAACCGCAUGGUUCAAAAGUGAAAGACGGUCUUGCUGUCACUUAUAGAUGGAUCCGCGCUGCAUUAGCUAGUUGGUAAGGUAACGGCUUACCAAGGCAACGAUGCAUAGCCGACCUGAGAGGGUGAUCGGCCACACUGGAACUGAGACACGGUCCAGACUCCUACGGGAGGCAGCAGUAGGGAAUCUUCCGCAAUGGGCGAAAGCCUGACGGAGCAACGCCGCGUGAGUGAUGAAGGUCUUCGGAUCGUAAAACUCUGUUAUUAGGGAAGAACAUAUGUGUAAGUAACUGUGCACAUCUUGACGGUACCUAAUCAGAAAGCCACGGCUAACUACGUG
rnacentral:rRNA from 1 species